rnacentral:rRNA from 1 species
UGCCAGCCGCCGCGGUAAUACGGAGGGGGUUAGCGUUGUUCGGAAUUACUGGGCGUAAAGCGCACGCAGGCGGUUUGUUAAGCUAGAUGUGAAAGCCCCGCGCUCAACGUGGGAAUAGCAUUUAGAACUGGCAGGCUAGAGUCUUGGAGAGGGGAGUGGAAUUCCAGGUGUAGCGGUGAAAUGCGUAGAUAUCUGGAGGAACAUCAGUGGCGAAGGCGGCUCCCUGGCCAAAGACUGACGCUCAUGUGCGAAAGUGUGGGUAGCGAACAGGAUUAGAUA